CGACGAUACAGGGUGAUAGUCCCGUAGUUGACGACGUGUGUUCAGUGAAAUCGAGUAGGGCGGGACACGUGAU
rnacentral:tRNA from 1 species